CCUACGGGAGGCAGCAGUGGGGGAUAUUGCACAAUGGGGGAAACCCUGAUGCAGCGACGCCGCGUGGGUGAAGAAGAGCCUCGGCGCGUAAAGCCCUGUCAGCAGGGAAGAAAAGGACGGUACCUGAAGAAGAAGCCCCGGCGAACGACGGGCCAGCAGCCGCGGUAAUACGUCGGGGGCAAGCUUUAGCCGGAUUUACUGGGUGUACAGGGGGCGCAGACGGCGCGGCAAGACAGGAGUGAAAGCCCGGGGCCCAACCCCGGGACUGCUCUUGGAACUGCGUGGCUAGAGUGCAGGAGGGGCAGGCGUCAUUCCUGUUGUAGCGGUGAACUGCGUAGAUAUCAGGAG
rnacentral:rRNA from 1 species